UACGUAGGGUGCAAGCGUUGUCCGGAAUUAUUGGGCGUAAAGAGCUCGUAGGCGGCUUGUCGCGUCGGCUGUGAAAACCUGGGGCUCAACCCCGGGCCUGCAGCCGAUACGGGCAGGCUGGAGUUCGGUAGGGGAGACUGGAAUUCCUGGUGUAGCGGUGAAAUGCGCAGAUAUCAGGAGGAACACCGAUGGCGAAGGCAGGUCUCUGGGCCGAUACUGACGCUGAGGAGCGAAAGCGUGGGGAGCGAACAGG
rnacentral:rRNA from 1 species